rnacentral:tRNA from 1 species
GCACCCUUAGCUCAGUCGGAUAGAGCAACUGCCUUCUAAGCAGUAGGUCGAGGGUUCGAAUCCCCCAGGGUGCGCCA